rfam:Microgenomates bacterium GW2011_GWB1_40_9 TT25_C0002, whole genome shotgun sequence.
GGACGAUUAGCUCAAUGGUAGAGCACUUCGUUUACAUCGAAGGGGUUAGGGGUUCGAAUCCCUUAUCGUCCA